GGCAUCGUGGCUUUGUGGUAGAGCGAUAAGGACACUUGAUCCUGGUGUUCUGGGUUCGAUCCCCAGCCGAGAAGCUA